GCAACAUCCACAGCUCCUCGCCGGCACAAAAAUAGGACCCUGUGGCAGGUUUGGUAGCAGAUCGUGGGCCCAGAGCAGGUCGCUCCGCUCCAGCUGGGUUCACGCAGGGAUGGGGAUGGAGGCAACCAUCCAGGAGACUCUAAGGACAACUGAAGGAUCCCCAAGAUUACGAUAUUACAAGUAUCAAAGCAAUGGAAUGGGUGCCUCUGAAAGCAAAUGGGAUCCCAGAACGAGCCCACGGGGCGCAUAAGCCACCGCUCAGCUCCAACCGUACCAAGCAGCAGGUCACGCUCGCCGAGCUUCGAAGUCCUUCCUGAGCAGAGCAGAGGGGACGGGAGAGAUGAUAAAAAGCAGAAGGUUCAUGCAGCGUCCAGCGUCUUGCGGGACAGUCCCCAGAGCCUGCCUGGACUGGCGAGUGUUGAACCCUUUGGUGAGACAACAGCCAGGAAGAUUUAGGGGUGUUGCAUCCCACAGGAUUCAGGCAUCUUAGCCUAUUUUUGCAUGUCUGGGCCUCAGUCCUUUGGGCCCAGUGUUUUUUUUUUUUUUUUUUUUUUUU